GAUGCCGGCCAGAGGGCGCGGGUUCCACCUGAUCCCAUUCCGAACUCAGAAGUUAAACCGUGUUCCGUUCCC
rnacentral:rRNA from 1 species